GCCGAAGUAGCUCAGUUGGUAGAGCAGCUGAUUUGUAAUCAGCAGGUCGUGGGUUCGACUCCCUUCUUCGGCUCAA
rnacentral:tRNA from 2 species